UGCGUAGGCGGCGCGGUAAGUCGGGUGUGAAAUCUCUGAGCUUAACUCAGAACGGCCAAGUGAUACUGCAGUGCUAGAGUGCAGAAAGGGCAAUCGGAAUUCUUGGUGUAGCGGUGAAAUGCGUAGAUAUCAAGAGGAACACCUGAGGCGAAGGCGGGUCGCUAGGCUGACACUGACGCUGAGUGCGCGAAAGCCGAGGGGAGCAAACG
rnacentral:rRNA from 1 species